rnacentral:rRNA from 1 species
UACAGGGGGGGCAAGCGUUGUUCGGAAUUACUGGGCGUAAAGGGCUCGUAGGCGGCGUCGUAAGUCAGGGGUGAAAUCCCGGAGCUCAACUCCGGAACUGCCCUUGAAACUGCAAUGCUAGAAUCUUGGAGAGGCGAGUGGAAUUCCGAGUGUAGAGGUGAAAUUCGUAGAUAUUCGGAAGAACACCAGUGGCGAAGGCGACUCGCUGGACAAGUAUUGACGCUGAGGUGCGAAAGCGUGGGGAGCAAACAGG